rnacentral:rRNA from 1 species
CCGACGGUGAGGGGUGAAAGCUGGGGGAGCAAACCGGAUUAGAUACCCGGGUAGUCCCAGCUGUAAACGAUGCGCGUUAGGUGUCUGGGAUGGUGCGACCGUUUCAGGUACCGCAGGGAUGCCGUGAAGCGAGCCACCUGGGAAGUACGGCCGCAAGGCUGAAACUUAAAGGAAUUGGCGGGGGAGCACUACAACGGGUGGAGCCUGCGGUUUAAUUGGACUCAACGCCGGAAAACUCACCUGGGGC